GACGAACGCUGGCGGCGUGCCCAACACAUGCAAGUCGAGCGAGGUUGCUUGGACUUCGGUCCAGGUACACCUAGCGGCGAACGGGUGAGUAACACGUGAGAAAUCUGCCCUAGAGACCGGGAUAACCCGGGGAAACCCGAGCUAAUACCGGAUGUCCUCAUCGAGUCGCAUGGCUUGAUGAGGAAACAGUCCGCUGCUCUAGGAGGAUCUCGCGGCCUAUCAGCUUGUUGGUGGGGUAACGGCCCACCAAGGCUAUGACGGGUAGCUGGUCUGAGAGGACGAUCAGCCACACGGGGACUGAGACACGGCCCAGACUCCUACGGGAGGCAGCAGUGGGGAAUCUUGCGCAAUGGGCGAAAGCCUGAUGCAGCAACGCCGCGUGCGCGAUGAAGGCCUUCGGGUCGUAAAGCGCUUUUCGGGGAGAUGAGGAAGGACAGUAUCCCCGGAAUAAGGAUCGGCUAACUACGUGCCAGCCGCCGCCGUAACAC
rnacentral:rRNA from 1 species